UACGUAGGGAGCAAGCGUUGUUCGGAAUUACUGGGCGUAAAGAGCGUGUAGGCGGUGUUCUAAGUCUGUUGUGAAAUCUCCCGGCUUAACCGGGAGGGUGCGGCGGAAACUGGAGGGCUUGAGGGUGGGAGAGGUAAGCGGAAUUCCUGGUGUAGCGGUGAAAUGCGUAGAUAUCAGGAGGAACACCUGUGGUGUAGACAGCUUACUGGACCGCUUCUGACGCUGAGACACGAAAGCGUGGGUAGCAAACAGG
rnacentral:rRNA from 1 species